CCUAGGGGCGGCAGCAGUGGGGAAUAUUGCACAAUGGGCGCAAGCCUGAUGCAGCAACGCCGCGUGAGGGAUUACGGCCUUCGGGUUGUAAACCUCUUUUGGCAGGGAAGAAGCGAAAGUGACGGUACCUGCAGAAAAAGCACCGGCUAACUACGUGCCAGCAGCCGCGGUAAUACGUAGGGUGCAAGCGUUGUCCGGAAUUAUUGGGCGUAAAGAGCUCGUAGGCGGUUUGUCGCGUCUGCUGUGAAAACUGGAGGCUCAACCUCCAGCCUGCAGUGGUUACGGGCAGACUCGAGUGCGGUAGGAGAGAUUGGAAUUCCUGGUGUAGCGGUGGAAUGCGCAGAUAUCAGGAGGAACACCGAUGGCGAAGGCAGAUCUCUGGGCCGUAACUGACGCUGAGGAGCGAAAGCGUGGGGAGCGAACAGGAUUAGAUACCCCUGUAGUC
rnacentral:rRNA from 1 species